rnacentral:rRNA from 1 species
AACGAACGCUGGCGGCGUGCUUAACACAUGCAAGUCGAGCGGGAAAACGGGGCUUCGGCCCUGUGAGUAGAGCGGCGAACGGGUGAGUAACACGUGAGUAACGUACCCUGAGGUUGGGGAUAACAGUGCGAAAGCGCUGCUAAUACCGGAUAAGCUCACGGUGUCUUCGGACACAGGGAGAAAAGCGGGCCUCUGACAUAAGCUCGCGCCUCGGGAUCGGCUCGCGGCCCAUUAGCUUGUUGGUAGGGUAACGGCCUACCAAGGCUACGAUGGGUAGCUGGUCUGAGAGGAUGAUCAGCCACACUGGAACUGAGACACGGUCCAGACUCCUACGGGAGGCAG